UACGUAGGAGGCUAGCGUUGUCCGGAAUCAUUGGGCGUAAAGAGCGCGUAGGCGGCCAGAUAAGUCCGGUGUGAAAGUCAAAGGCUCAACCUUUGAAUGCCGCUGGAAACUGUCUGGCUAGAGUCCGGGAGGGGCGAGUGGAAUUCCUGGUGGUAGCGGUGAAAUGCGCAGAUAUCAGGAGGAACACCAAUGGCGAAGGCAGCUCGCUGGAACGGUACUGACGCUGAGGCGCGAAAGCGUGGGGAGCGAACAGG
rnacentral:rRNA from 1 species